GGCUCAGUUGGUAGAGCAUGGUGUUUGCAACGCCAGGGUUGUGGGUUCAAUUCCCAC
rfam:Salmo salar isolate Sally breed double haploid chromosome ssa06, whole genome shotgun sequence.